UUCUUGCAAUCAAUAAGAAGUAAUUCCUGCCCAGUGAUAUUAUUCAACGGCCGCGGUAUCCUAACCGUGCAAAGGUAGCAUAAUCACUUGCCCAUUAAUUGUGGGCUAGAAUGAACGGACCAACGAAAUAAAAACUGUCUCUAUAAGCCCCAUAAAAAUUAAUCUCUAACUGAAGAGUGUUAGAUUAAAUCGAAGGACAAGAAGACCCUAUAGAGCUUCAUUUUAAUAAAGAUUUAAACUUUAAUAAAAUUCGGUUGGGGCGACCAGGGAAAAACUAAUCAUCCCUUAUUAAAAGAUAAAUAAAUCUAAAUACUGACCCUUAGAAAGAUCACAAGAACAAGCUACCUUAGGGAUAACAGGCUAAUCCUAUUAAAGAGUCCUUAUCAAUAAUAGGGGUUGGCACCUCGAUGUUGGCUUAGGGAAUCUAUGUGGCGCAAAAGUCACAU
rnacentral:rRNA from 1 species